GGGGACGUAGCUCAGUUGGAAGAGUGCUUGUCUAGCACGCAUGAAGCCCUGGGUUCAUGCCCCAGCACCA
rnacentral:tRNA from 1 species